UAGGGAAUCUUCCACAAUGGACGCAAGUCUGAUGGAGCAACGCCGCGUGAGUGAAGAAGGUUUUCGGAUCGUAAAGCUCUGUUGUUGGUGAAGAAGGAUAGAGGCAGUAACUGGUCUUUAUUUGACGGUAAUCAACCAGAAAGUCACGGCUAACUACGUGCCAGCAGCCGCGGUAAUACGUAGGUGGCAAGCGUUGUCCGGUUUUAUUGGGCGUAAAGCGAGCGCAGGCGGAAUGAUAAGUCUGAUGUGAAAGCCCACGGCUCAACCGUGGAACUGCAUCGGAAACUGUCAUUCUUGAGUGCAGAAGCGGAGAGUGGCAUUCCAUGUGUAGCGGUGGAAUGCGUAGAUAUAUGGAAGAACACCAGUGGCGAAGGCGGCUCUCUGGUCUGCAACUGACGCUGAGGCUCGAAAGCAUGGGUAGCGAACAGG
rnacentral:rRNA from 1 species